CACGUGAAAGACUUCGGGAAACAGAUGCUAACUUGGGGAAAAGCUCCAGAAUUCUGACAGGCAUGUUGCGAAGGUCUAGAAUAUGACAAGCCCUGAGCUCAUCUGGAAAACAGAAUAUUAUUAGGACUCAAAGGUUAAAUGUGCCAUCCCACCAUCAAAGUCGGUGAAUGCUCCUCUGAAACAAUGUGCAGGCCCGUUAUAAAUCAUUUUCAUUCAUGUUAACUCUUACAUAAGCUGAAACUCAGCCUGAAAAUGUUUACUGCUUUCCAGAGAUGACUCAUGCAGUAAUCUUUUUAUUUAUUUCAUUAUUUCGCUCAGUCGUCUCUAGGUGCUCGUAACAAAAGCCUAGCUUUCCACAGGCUGGCUGGCCGUGUACUCGGGCAAAGGCUGGAGCUAAUCCCUCCUGCACUGUGUCUUCUCCUUGCAAGUUGUCAAUACCCGGUAACCAUUAACUAUUAACGGCAACGUCAUCCUGCCAUUCCACUUCCUGCCCAGCUGGCC